rnacentral:lncRNA from 1 species
UUACUUCCGGUGCUGGGCCUAUUUUCUUUUUCAAGUGUUAUUUAAAGAGCCCAAAAUCCAUCACCCUAAAUAAAGAAGUAGGGCCUUACUUACAAAAGUUUAAUUACAAGGCCCAAUAAUAAUCUUGUCUCUCUCCGCGGUGAUUCGCGUCUCGAGUGGCAGAGCCGUUCACAACGCUGCUGCCCCUUUUUCCGGCCGAAGGUAGCACCGAGCUUCAACCUCUCAAUCACAUCAGCAAUAAUUAAUAGGAGAACUACAGCUAUCCAGAAACCAACUCUUUCAAUCCCAACUAAGAUUCAAUACAUAGAAAAAAAGUAUGGCACUCGCUUGCUCAAAUGGUAUUCAAUUUUUGGACAGCCAUAGUCAUUUUCU